rnacentral:tRNA from 1 species
GGAGGGAUGUCCGAGUGGUUGAAGGAGGCGGUCUUGAAAACCGCUUGGCCGUUCUGGUCACGGGGGUUCGAAUCCCUCUCCCUCCGCCA